GUCCCGUCAAAGGCUUCCCUGCAGCUCAUCGCCGGCGGCGACAACAACAAGAGCGAGCUCGCAGCCCCUGAACGCGUCUUAGUCAGCGUGUCCAUGAAAGGGCCAGAUUCAUUAGGUGCUGAUGGGCCAGGUGGUGUGAAUUUAAUAAACACAGAGGAGAGAAAUCUGUAGGCACACAGCAGGAUGAGUCACGGGAGUUUCGCCGCGCCGAGAGCUGGAGGGAAGCUGCAGCCGAGCAGGAAACACAUACAUGCGGACGGAUGAACUCAUGCUCUCCAAGCAGGAGCGCCGCGGACGCCGGCGUGGACGUGACAUCACAAAGACGAGCGGUUUUCCAGGAGUCGCUGUGAGACGUCAGAAGGAACCGUCUGGAUCAGAGUGUUCUGGUGGACCUCUGGACCGGAGCCUGCAUGUCAGAAUGAACAUUUAGCUGCUAACUCUGUUUAAGAAUAACGUCUGAUUUUGAGAUUUGCAUAAUUUCUGUCUUUUUCUUUGUUGUUUUAUUUUUCCUUUUGGGUUUAAAACCAAAUCUGAUGUCACACAGGGAGGUUUUAAAAUGUUCUCGUGUUAUUUUUCUGAUGACAUAUCAAUAAAUUAUGAUUAAAACUUCA